CCCUCAAGGUGGCCUUCACCUGCAUUGAGUGAGACUGUUGCCGUCAGAAAUCAGAAGUUCUCUGAUCUUGUUGUCAAAUGCCUAAUUAAACUUACAAAGGUUCUUCAAAGCACUAUAUAUGAUGUUGAUCUUGACCGCAUCCUUCAAGGCAUCCAUAUAUACCUGCAAGAUUUGGGAAUGGAAGAAAUUAGAAGAAGAGCUGGAGCCGAUGACAAGCCAUUGCGCAUGGUGAAAACUGUUCUACAUGAACUUGUCAAGCUUCGUGGGGCUGCAAUAAAGGGUCACCUUUCAAUGGUUCCUAUAGAUAUGAAACCCCAGCCAAUUAUCCUUGCCUACAUUGAUCUUAACCUUGAGACUUUAGCUGCUGCA
rnacentral:misc_RNA from 1 species